GAUGAACGCUGGCGGCGUGCUUAACACAUGCAAGUCGAACGGAAAGGCCCAAGCUUGCUUGGGUACUCGAGUGGCGAACGGGUGAGUAACACGUGGGUGAUCUGCCCUGCACUUCGGGAUAAGCCUGGGAAACUGGGUCUAAUACCGGAUAGGACGAUGGUUUGGAUGCCAUUGUGGAAAGUUUUUUCGUUGUGGGAUGAGCUCGCGGCCUAUCAGCUUGUUGGUGGGGUAAUGGCCUACCAAGGCGUCGACGGGUAGCCGGCCUGAGAGGGUGGACGGCCACACUAGGACUGAGAGAGGGCCCAGAGUCCGACGGGAGGCAGCAGUGGGGAAUAUUUCACAAUGGGCGCAAGCCUGAGGCAGCAACGCCGCGUGGGGGAUGACGGCCUUCGGGUUGGAAACUCCUUUCGCUAAGGAAGAAGCGUUGUUGUGACGGUACCUGGAGAAGAAGCACCGGCUAACUACGUG
rnacentral:rRNA from 1 species